UGCUUGCACUUCAGGCGUCGAGCGGCGGACGGGUGAGUAACGCGUGAGAAUCUGCCCAUCAGUGGGGGAUAACUCGGGGAAACUCGAGCUAAUACCGCAUACGUCCUACGGGACAAAGCAGGGGACCUUUUGGCCUUGCGCUGAUGGAUGAGCUCGCGUCGGAUUAGCUUGUUGGUGAGGUAAAGGCUCACCAAGGCGACGAUCCGUAGCUGGUCUGAGAGGAUGAUCAGCCACACCGGGACUGAGACACGGCCCGGACUCCUACGGGAGGCAGCAGUGGGGAAUCUUGGACAAUGGGGGCAACCCUGAUCCAGCCAUGCCGCGUGUGUGAAGAAGGCCUUCGGGUUGUAAAGCACUUUCAGUAGGGAGGAAGGCUUUGGGCUAAUACCCUGAAGUACUUGACGUUACCUACAGAAGAAGCACCGGCUAAUUUCGUGCCAGCAGCCGCGGUAAUACGAAAGGUGCAAGCGUUAAUCGGAAUUACUGGGCGUAAAGCGCGCGUAGGCGGUGUGUUAAGUCGGAUGUGAAAGCCCAGGGCUCAACCUUGGAAUUGCAUCCGAUACUGGCACGCUAGAGUGCAGUAGAGGGAGGUGGAAUUUCCGGUGUAGCGGUGAAAUGCGUAGAGAUCGGAAGGAACACCAGUGGCGAAGGCGGCCUCCUGGACUGACACUGACGCUGAGGUGCGAAAGCGUGGGGAGCAAACAGGAUUAGAUACCCUGGUAGUCCACGCCGUAAACGAUGUCUACUAGCCGUCGGGGUCCUUAGUGACUUUGGUGGCGCAGCUAACGCGAUAAGUAGACCGCCUGGGGAGUACGGCCGCAAGGUUAAAACUCAAAUGAAUUGACGGGGGCCCGCACAAGCGGUGGAGCAUGUGGUUUAAUUCGAUGCAACGCGAAGAACCUUACCAGGUCUUGACAUCCUCGGAAUUUGGCAUAGAUGCCUUAGUGCCUUC
rnacentral:rRNA from 1 species